rnacentral:lncRNA from 1 species
AGAGAACUAGCUGGAUUGUGAUGAGAAGCCCUAGGGAAGGAGAAGAAUAGGAUUGACCAAGCUUCAAGCUUCAAGACUCUACAUUUUGCAUUUUGUGAGAAAUCACAUUUGAGUCCAUAGGAAAGCCAAUACUAUCAAAAGGGGAUGAGGUAUCUAUGAUGAUCUGGUUGCUCAAGUGCUUAGAGUUAGCCACCAAAAACCCUCAUGAAAUUCUCCCAUCGAGUUUUACCCUAGACAGAAUCGAGAGCCAACCCAACCAUCUCGGUGCCACGAAGUCUUGAUUUCGGUGCAACAAAAAAACAGCGACCAACUCCCUGGUUACCAUUUGCUGAGAAUCGAAAUUUCCGAUUUUUGCAAAUUGGUGCCACCAAGUUUAUAUAACUGCCUAGGUCGACCAAAUCGGACCCACCGAGAUUCUAUAUUGGUCUUACCAAAAUGCCAAAUGUUGCAACAUUUUUCACUAGUUGGUGCAACCGAGUUUUUUUGCUUCGGUUUCACCGAGUUGAGCAAUAAUGUUGUAACGAUUGGAUUUUUGGAGGUGCCUAUAUAUACCCAUCCACUGUUAGGGCAUAUUUUUCCCUAAG